rnacentral:lncRNA from 1 species
UGAGUAAUGACCAAAAAUAUCAUUGACGUUUUAUAUUGUAAUGCUAAAUUCUUUUAAAAAGUUCUUGAUCUAUAUAUUAGUCAAUAAAAGAUUACAGAAAUGCUAUGAUAUUUUAGGAAAUGUCACAGCGAAAGGAAGAUGACUGGGAAGGAGUGGAUGACUAGGAAGUGCUUUCCUUAAGAAACAGGCAAGGCUCUCAAGACUGGACAUGGAAGCCAAGGAGCAGUGGAGCUUAAUUCCCUUCCUUCUUGGCUCUAGUGACGCUCUUCUCAUGAACUGAAUGAAGCUUAAGUGAUAGCGUGUUUUAGGAAUAUUCUCCUUAAACAUAUUUACCUCUUACGCUCUCUGAAUCCAUUCUCCGUCAUACUGUGCCUGCCCACGUGGAGCCUGCAGACACUGCACCAGCUGCCCCCACAGUCAGCCUCUAGUGAAAGCCCAGUCUCCCGUACCUCCCACCGCCCCAACCUCCAACGACUCCGCCUGACACGGCAUCACCGCCACCUCUCAGCCUUCCAGUGUGCUUGCUGUCUUCCCUAUUCUGAAAACCCUUCUCUAUUGUCUGCUUUAAUUCAUCUUAUCAGAGACACGUGUAAAACCCGGAGAAAUGAAGUGACUCCCCAAGACACGAGGUGAGUUGGGGCAAAGCUGUAAUUAUAGUUUGGUUAGACUUGUGAGGAUGGUGGACCUAUAAUCAAAUAAAAAUGACAGGGACACAUGUUUUUGGUUUUUA